CUCGCAAGAGCAAAGCAGGGGACCUUCGGGCCUUGCGCUACCGGAUAUGCCCAGGUGGGAUUAGCUAGUUGGUGAGGUAAGGGCUCACCAAGGCGACGAUCCCUAGCUGGUCUGAGAGGAUGAUCAGCCACACUGGAACUGAGACACGGUCCAGACUCCUACGGGAGGCAGCAGUGGGGAAUAUUGCACAAUGGGCGCAAGCCUGAUGCAGCCAUGCCGCGUGCAGGAUGAAGGCCUUCGGGU
rnacentral:rRNA from 1 species